AGGCGGAGUCGUUUCAGCGAAGGUGGAGUCGUUUGAGUGAAGGCGGAGUCGUUUGAGUGAAGGUUCAGUCGUUUCAGCGAAGUCGGAGUCCUUUGAGUGAAGGUUGAGUCCUUUGAGCGACGGUUGAGUCGUUUUAGGCUGGAGCACCGAUUUCCAUGAUGGUGCUGGUUCCCGAAAUGAGGAGGACUGGAGGUGGAACCAGCAAACGUGUUGUCAGGAAAGAGCCUGAAGAACCCAUUGCUCCCACUCUGAGGAGGAGGGAAUGCUGCACCCGCCGCAACUGACCUGUUUCCAGAUUGAGGCCUGACCACACAGAUAACACAGUCUCUAAAAGCAGAAAGCAGAUUUCAGACAAGCCGCAGAGGUAAAACCAGCUCUAGAGGGAAGGAAUUGAUUUCCGCCCAGGAAACCUGCACAGAAUGUACAAUCCCAUCGUUGUCCAUGCACCCGGCAUCGCCAAUAAACAGGUUUCCCAGUCCUCCCUGCA
rnacentral:lncRNA from 13 species